GAGAGAUACAAAGUGAAAAAUAACUGUUUCAUAACCAUUCUAAAAAAAAAAAACAUAGGGAACACGUCCCUGAAACUAAAUUCAAAAUCCAGUUUUACAACACUUUUUAAUCUCUCUUGACAUCUGUUUUAGUUAUUACUUAUUAACCAAAGGAAUAGCAGGUGGGUUGUCUUCUCUUCAAUUGUGCUGCUGCUCUGUCAUUACUUCUGGAGAUAAUAAACUGACAACUGAAUUUUACACCAUUCCCCUUGUCAAUAAGGUGGAUGGGUACAUUGUCAAUUCGUUCAUACAUUUUAAGAAAGAGGAACAGCACAACAAGGUUCUAAGAAAUUAUGCUCCGAAAUUAUUAGUUAACGGUGGAUACAAGCGUUUACUAAAGCAGACAUGUCAUGAGGGCACACAGGCCCUAUUUAUAGGGGUUGUGCAGGCUGUAUAUAUUAAUGACCUAUCCUUGGCACCCCUGCCAAUCAGCUGGUUGAUGAGGCAGUGCUCCGUGCGAGCGCCGCUUCCUAUUCAUUACACUGCUCAUCAUCAUCCAUCAACCAUUUACAAAUACUUGCUCCAUUCAAGAGGAGCUGCGCUGCGCCGCCGAGACGACAGGCAGUGUAAUGAAGAAAUAGCGCUUUCAUGGAGCAUUAUCUUCCCUUCAAACAGCUGACCGGCAGGUGUGCCGAGUGUCAGACCACCAACGAUUUUAUAUUGAUGACCUAUCCUGAGUGAUGACCUAUAUGCUGCCUGCACAACCCUCUUUAAAGCUGCUGCAUACUGAUGUGGUACUCAGAUUAAGUAGUAUAGGAAUAGUUUAUUCAUAUAAUCAGCGAGGUACCUCAGCUCCUCAGUACUACCCUCUGAGUGCCCUAAAAGGGACAGCAUGAAACUGCCGCCAUGUACUACCAAAUAGUGGUUUUCCUACUAAGUGUAAGUACAUUCAAAAUGGACAAAGGUUUAAUAAAUGCAAUUCAUACACAAGCCACAAAUUAGAAAAUAACACAUGGUAAAUGGAGCAGUUUGAUGUUAAAGUGAAACUUCAGCGUGGACUCUCUAUGAAGUGGACUUGCAUCAGCAGACAAAGUAAUUCUUUUAGGGGACACAGGACCAGAGUAAAUCUAAGUGAAGCUUCAUUUUUAACAUGCAGCAGAUCAUUGCAAACAAUUCAAGUUUGUUAUAUGUCAUACUCGUACUGCUAAUGUCUGAUACAUGCAAAAAAUGUGCAAAUGAAGAAAACCAGUCAUGAAGCGCCAGUUACAAGCACCAAAAUGUCCCUACAGCCAGCUGAACGCAAACAAGAAAACAAUACGACACUGUAACUUAGAAGCCACAGUGGUAUCUCGAGACCAUGUAACAUGAUCUGUCUGAUGAAGCUUCACAAAGUCUCCAUUUGUGCUGCAUACUCUAGAGGGAUUUGACCAAAGGUGCUCACCAUUCCGUUAAAGGCUAGAGACACAUUUGGGAUAUUUUUUUACUUUUAUUUUUUAAACGCAUGUAUUUUAGGCUGAGAAGCAUUUUGCAUUAGGGUUUUAUUAAAAACUGUACACAAAUGUGACAUCUGAAGCUUCAAUAAUUGAUGAAAUUUGAUUCGGUCAUAAAGCAGCUUAGAAGAUUGUUCAGGAGAGGAGAGAGGGGAUGGAGAAUGAGCAAUCAAACAGCCAUUUCUAUACUGCACACUGGAGCUUGGUGUUUACUGCGACACCUAGAAGGUGAAGUCAACUGGUGCCAUUUUUUAUAAAAAUACAUGAGCUAAAGGGGUUUUCCCAUCUCAACAUUUGUGGAUUAUGACUAGGAUAUGGCACAAAUGUCAGAUGGGAACCCACAACGAUCUCCAGAACAGAGUUCCCAAAGAGAAGGCCAGCAAACCACACAAGGGCUGUGUCCUUUCCAUUCACUACUAUAAGAUAUCCCAAAAUCCACAAAUUGCUCCUUGACCAUUUUUUGGAGUCCCAUACUAGUGAAGGGAGCCUAAGCCGCACUAGCACAGCUACCUUCCAAUUCCCCGCUACAGGACUGCCAGAAAUUAGCAAAGCAGUGCUUGGCUAUUUUCAAAACCCCCACAUCAGGAAUGGAGAGCUGGUCGCACAUGUGGGGACCCACAUCCUGACAUUUGUGGCAUUUCCUAGCGAUAUGCCACACAUGCUAAAAUAGGAAAAAAACACCUUUAA